GACUGGCUGUGCUUAUGCCAUGUGCCAGCCCUGGAGCAGGGACUUAAUUCCUACCCGAAUAGAUGCACAGGAGGAUGAGGAUGGAGUGGCUUCCCUAAGGCAGAUUGAGAUGCUGUUCCGAGAGGAGGGAGAUGCAGACCAUCUGAAAUUACAGACAUCCUCUUUGGAGAGGGAUGGGCAAACUGAGACCCCAAGCCCUGGAGAGAUGUGUUCAGACAGAUGUGCAAGUCCCCCCUGCUCCAGCCCACUGUGGCUCCGGGCUUCAGUCUUCAGUUGGCCUUUGUUCUGCCACUUUCUCCUGGAAGUCACGCCUCUCUCUCUUCCUGCCUCCCACAUCACAGGAGUCUGCACGCACCCAACCAGCUCAAAAGGCUCUGACAGAUAAUAUCUUGUUGGCUGAGCACGGUGGCUUACACCUGUAAUCCCAGCACUUUGGGAUGCCAAGGCCGGCAGAUCAUCUGAGGUCAGGAGUUCGAGAGCAGCCUGACCAACAUGGUGAAACCCCAUCUCUACUAAAAAUACAAAAUUAGCCGGGUGUGGUGGCACAUGCCUGUAAUCCCAGCUACUCAGGAUGCUAAGGCAGGAGAAUCACCUGAACCCAGGAGGUGGAGAUUGCAGUGAGCCGAGAUCGCGCCAUUGCACUCCAGCCUGGGUGGCAGAGGGAAACUGUCUCAAAAAAAAAAAAAAAAUCUUGUUAUUAACUAUAGUCUCCACGUAGUACAACAGAUCACUUGAAGUUAUUCCUCCUCUCUAACGGAAAAUUUGUAUCCUUUGACCACCCCCUGGCAAUCACCAUUCUACCUUCUGCUUCCAUGAGUUCACUGUUCCAGGAAUUUAUUUUUAUUAUUAAAAAAAUUAUGGAACGUUUCACAAAUUUGCAUGUCAUCCUUGUGCAGGGGACACGCUAAUCUUCUCUGUAUCGUUCCAAUUUUAG
rnacentral:lncRNA from 10 species